GGUAUGGUUGACUUUGACUGUUUUGAGUAAAUUAAGCUUAAUUUUAUAACAAAAACGGUCUAUAACGACACUUUUAAAUAUCAGUAUAGGUCAAAAAAAGUAUUGCUGGCUAAAUUACCGGCACUUUUAAAAAGUAUUGCUAUAUGUGGGAUCGCUAGGUAUAUAGUGACAGUUAUAGAGUGUUGCUAUAACCUAACAAAAGUGCUACUAAUUUACCAACACUUAUUUAAAUAUUUAGCAAACGUCGGAACUCUACCUCGUUAGCUGCGAUGGCGGAGGAAAACGAGAGGAAAGGGCUCUUCAUCUAGGAUUUCAGUGGAUUGAGUGAGAGGAGAAGGAAAGAUGAUAAUCGAUUUUUCUUUUUCUUUUUUUUUUUUCUAUUUGUAAUCGGGUCGAAUGGGCUGAGUGGGGUGGGUUGAGUAGAGUAACCUUUUNUAUAUAAUUUAUUUAUUUUUGACUGCAUAAAUAAAAAUGAAUAAUAUAGAGAUUGAAGGCGGAAGAAAAGACAUAUGAGGCUGAAAAAAUUAGAUAUUCAACUCAUAAAUUAUUUUUUUUCAUAUUAUAAUACUAUAUUUUAUAUAAUUAUUUUGUACUUUGAACUAUUAGACAUAUUUUUGUAUCAAAUUAUAGAUAAUGUUCGGUACAAAUUAAACUAUUGAUCGUAUAAUGUUGAGAAUUUCAAACGGCUCGUUUAGGGCUCGAGCUCGCUCGACUUGAAAUUAGGCUCGCUCGAGCUCGGCUCGAAUUAAUUUCAAUCCAAGCUUGAGCUUAAAUUUAGGCUCGAAAUUAAUUUCAAGCUGAAUUUGAGCCGAGGUAAGCUUGCUCGAGCUCGGCUCGCUUCCACCCCUACCGAACAGGCCAAAGAACCCAACUUUAGUAUGUAUAUAACAAUAGUAUUUUGCCCAUGUUUGUUUAGAUAUUUACAGAUCAGGUAUGGUUGACUUUGACUGUUUUGAGUAAAUUAAGCUUAAUUUUAUAACAAAAACGGUGUAUAACGAUACUUUUAAAUGUCAGUACAGGUCAAAAAAAGUAUUGCUGGCUAAAUUACCGGCACUUUUAAAAAAUGUUGCCAUAUAUGGGGUCGCUAGGUAUAUAGUGACAAUUAUAGAGUGUUGCUAUAACCUAAAAAAAGUGCUGCUAAUUUACCAACACUUAUUUAAAUAUUUAGCAAACGUCGAAACUCUACCUCGUUAGCUGCGAUGGCAGAGGAGAACGAGAGGGAAGGGCUCUUCAUCUAGGAUUUCAGUAGAUUGAGUGAGAGGAGAAUGAAAGAUGAUAAUCGAUUUUUCUUUUUUUUUUUUUUCUAUUUGUAAUCGGGUCGAAUGGGCUGGGUGGGGUGGGUUGAGUAGAGUAACCUUUUAUUUUUUGUUAGGUUGGGCUUUAUAUUUAGACAUUAGUAAAUUUUUUUUUUUUAAGUGUUGGUAUAAAUGGGACACUUAUAUAAAAGUGUCCCAAACAUGUGUCUCUAUAAUCUAAUUCUGUUGUAGUGAUAAAUUAAAGCAUCCCAGAAUAUUUGCAGAGCAGCUAACGUCGUACUGAGCGAGGAGGAAUUCUACAUUAUCAUACUUGCACUACAUCAUCAAUAACAAGCCAAUCACAUUCCUUCCUUUUCAAACAAAAUACAAUAAAAAUAUUUUUUUACAAUUAUGAUGGAGCAUAUACCUCUACAUGACAUUUGAUUGGUUUGUUAUGUCACGUUACUAAUAUACCCGUUGAAUUCUAAAAUUUUUAUGA
rnacentral:lncRNA from 1 species